rnacentral:lncRNA from 1 species
GCUGCCCGCCCGCCCUUCUACAGACAGUCACUGAGGAGGCGGCCAGAGCCUGGGCUGCGACCCUUACUGCAGCUGCUGAGUAAAAUUGUGAGGAAAAAUAUCCAAAAAUAUAUAUAUUUACCAGUACUAGUCAGAUGGUGGAGUACAGCAAGAAAGCCCACAUUAUCUGAGACCAUCACUGACAACGAUCAGUGCUGGCAGGUGGCAGAAGAGGCUGAACUGUUCUUACCUUGGAUAAACCUAGUCAGUGCUGCGGGAGGUGUUUCAGCCUUCAAGCUGUCAUGCCUCAGGUGGCUGAAGCUGCUCUAUUGGAAAGUAGAGGACAAGCGGAGGCUGCCAGAGCUGGAGGACAUGAUGAAACUUGAGGCCGGAGGAGGUUCUUGCUUAAUGUGUUAGUAACUCCCUGUGUGCAGCUCCAUAUCCGAGUUCCUGGAAUUUCAUCAUUCGCGACAGAAAUGCUUCCAGUUAUAAGUCUGCAAGCAGCAGCUAUUUAUGUCAGAUGGAGGCAAAUGACGGGAUUUGUGUCAAAGCCUGUUACAUCUUUUAAAGAUUUCCCUAUCAGUUCUGAAGAAGUUCUAUAGGAAGCUCAAAACGUAGGCAGCUAAGCGCAGACUUGGGUGGCUAACGUAGAAGUGUUAGCCCUUCAAUACGUCAGUGAUGAUCAAGAAUACUGUUUUAAGCAUAUACGCUCUCUGGGGUGUGCUGUACUGAAGAGAGCUGCCAUUUAUUCCCAUGAAAGUCCUCUCUUUUCUUCCUUAAUUGUAUAAAUACAAUAAAGUGAAACCCAUAAACUUCA